CAAUAAUCCACUUUCCAUCUGACAAGUUAUAGUCCACCACAGCAUCAGGCAUCUGCCAAAAAAAAUUUAUAGGUAAGUAGUAACAGAAAAAAAUGCAGAUGCUUCAUCAUAUACAGACAUGUAAAACUAUAAAGCAUAAGAUGUAAACGG